UGAUAGCGUUGAAGCGUGAGGUUGCUGCCAGUGAUGGCAGGUUUUCCGUGGAGCGAAUGUCAAGUUAGGAAACUGGCGACAA
rnacentral:ncRNA from 1 species